AUCUUGAAUGUGAUGCCUACCAAGUGUUUGAUGAAAUGCAUAAAAGAUGAAUGUAUAUGAAAAUAGUAGAAAGAAUUGAUAAACUAAGUGAAAGAAUGAAUGUUCUAAUGUAGGCGUGAAAGAAGAAGGUACAAGCACUAAGCAAGCGGAAGGAGCACAAGAUCGAGGCGUGAAAGAAGAAGGUACAAGCACUAAGCAAGCGGAAGGAGCACAAGAUCGAGGUAAAGCACCUCUAUAGGCGAUUUGGAGUCAUGGGACGAGCACAUGUUCAAGCCUUAAAAUACCAAACGCUUCCGCAACUCAUAUGCAUACUUUUGGGUCCUUGUUUUGACACUUUAUUAGACUUUGUUGAAAUGUUUUAGAUUUAAAAAC